rnacentral:lncRNA from 1 species
GGUGGUGUGUGUGUGUGCUGCACGGUUGAGGAGGAGAAGAAAGGGAUUGUCCUUUUUACAAAUUAGCCCCUCAACACUAUUCACUUCAGUUUGUACCUCAGGUACAGAUAUUUUUCGCCUGUCUUUCUGAAUGUCCGUUUGAGCUCAAAUUUGACAGUCAGGCUCGGUUUUACUUAACAAGAAAAAUUUUAAUCUUUCAGUUUCGACCCCGUUUGGUCACCGAAAGCCCUACCGAACUGUAGUCUCUAUCAGAUAGCCGUCGGAUUUUAUUUCUCACUUUUCGGGUGUCAGAAUGGCAUGAAACUUUAAAUCUAGCCUCAUAAAAAUAAUUUUAACAUAUUCUCCAGUUUUCAUAAUUUUCUGAUACUGUAUUUUCUGCUAAUUUAUUUGUCCCGUUUCACACAGAAAAUUCUAAAUCUUCUGUUUUCAUUCCGAUUUCAGCACAAGUCAUUUCUGACUUAUAUUUUACUUCUAUAAAUCCAAUAAAAAUAGUAUCUCACACUAUUUUUAUUUAUUUUUAUUUUUAUACCAAAAUCUGGUAUGUUACACUAGCUAGAUGCGACCUCCUUGCCGCGGUCCUAGCUUUUCCUGGCAUGGAUGGCUUUGUAAACAAAAAUAUCAACAAAAAUGGGAAUGAGAACUAUUAGUCAAUAGUUCCUAGUGGGUAAGUUGCUGACAUUAGCGAAAUACACCACUAGGUCAUGGUGGCAUGAGUAGUAGUAUAUAAGCAUCAGAAUAAACAACAUGAAUGUUGAGCAAGUAAUAAAUGUACUAAGCUACUAUGCCUCUAAUUAGCAUGAUGUUCAACAAGUAAUAAGACUAUUCUAUCAUGAAUGAGCAUGUCCAACUAGUAUACACUAUCUAGUAGUGAUGUCCACAUUACACCUUCAACUGUCAUUGUUCAAUUCAACGGGGACCUACACAAGUGUAGUCAAGCUUGCACCGUGCUUAAUGGCCCCGUAGUAGUAAACAUUCCCCCUCUAGGAAUGAGACUCUCCCAAGGCAUUCCAUUUCGGCGCCCAAUUCUGCACGGGCGAGCAUGUGUCACGUAGGCUAACUCCGGAGUGCCAGCUUGUAGGGAGCGAUCCUGACAAGCAUGUGCGGAUGAGCACAAUGGUAAGCAAGCUUGAUCAUCCAUAUCAAGUCCUCGGUCAUCAUGUCUAAAGCAUGGUACAAGUACUAGCGAUCCAACGGUCGAUCUUUAUGUUAUAAUGUGAAGGUUUAAUCAUUUACUAAGUAAAGUGUCACUUCAUGACGUUCGUGUUCACUAUGUCAAGCGUAAGUCAUUCGUCCAUGAUCAUGUAAAGCUUGUCAUUUCAUUAUUCAUAGCAUGAUUUCUAACAUGGCAUGAAGGUUGUUCUUUCAUAUGCAAGUUCCAUAUACAACUAUCAGUCUACUACAUAGAGGAGCUAAAGUAUGACAUAUGACAUGCAUCUUAGGCAUUCAAAAAUUCAUUUAUGCUCUAUCUAGCAUGAAUAUAUAUGAUUUCCUAUUUUACAACUUAGAUAAUGACAUAGGAGUUCACCUAUUUCGGUGAGGUCAAACCCACCGGAUACCCCUCAAACCCCUUUGUUUGCGCGAACGAGAUUGUCCACUAACCUUCUAGCUCCCUAACAAAAAUUUCAAGAAUGUUAGGGGCUUCGAACGAACACCCCACUAAAUUUCUGAAAAUCAACCCAUAAAUAGGUAGAAAAUACCUUAAAUAAGGAAAAACCCUUCCAAACUCGCAAAUGAGGUUAGGAUGCUUCAAUUCCAACCUAAAAGGAAGCAUUGAAACCAACAAUUUAGCCUCAAAGGCUCUACCAAGAAAAAACCCAAAUAAAAUCCUAGUUUCCAAAAAACUAGGUUAAACUCCAAAAACUCUCCAAAAUCACAAUCCAGAGCAAUAAAUGCUACUAACCUCUUAUACAGCUCCAAACCAAGCUAAGUUGGUGCUAAGGUGGGAGAUAAUUCCUCAACCAAGCUCAAGUCUUCAAAUCCCAAGCUUCUCCAAGGUCUAAGGUCCAUCAUCAAGCAAAGAAGAGAAUAAGUUAGAGAUCAAUCCUCAAAAAUCCACAAAUUUGAGUGGAGAAAUUUAGAGAGGAAGAGGGGAGGCUCACCUUCUUCUCUGGUUCAUAGUCCAAAAGAGCCAUCAUGGGGGUGUAGGGGUAUAUAUAGAGGUGUACAAUCCCUAAAAAGCCCCUAAAAAACAACCAGUCUGUAGAUUACACUACAUAUCGGUACUCGGGGAGGAGUAUCGGUACCCGACAACCAAUCCUGCGCAACCCGAGCCUCUAUCAAGCGGGCAGCUUGCGGUGUACCGAUACUUGCUCAAUGCAGUACCGGUACCCGGCCCUGGUACUGGUACCCGGCCCUGGUACUGGUACCCGGCCAAGUCUGUACCGGUACUCAGCCUUCUAGAGCUCAAACCCGAGAGCACCCCUCUCGGUCGCGCGAUGGGAUUCCGGUACCCCACUGUGGUACUGCUACCCAACACCCUAAAACCUGCAGUUUGCAGAUUUUGGUGUUAAGUACAACCUUUCGCUUCUCAAGACGCAAGUAAUAGGUCAGAACACAUCCCCGACCCUCGAACACACCUAGAAUAGUAUCAAACACUAUUCGAACACUGGAAUCUUGCUAUUUGCUAAAGUUCAGUGUGCUACAAGUUCUCUAAUUUUUUUAGAGUUCAUUGACCUAUGUUCAAUGUCCACACCUAGGCAUACAUAUAUAUCUUAUAUGUUCCACCUGCCUAUGUUCUUGUCCAAUGGUAGAUAGUUUAAUGUAGCAACAUACGAUUCAUACACUUUGUUUAUCAAUUAAUCUACCAUUACAUGCAUGCAUCAAUAAUAAUAUCAUACUUUACUUUUUGACAUGGAAGCGAUCUAGUCACUUCGGUGAAGCACAACCCACCUAGUCACUUCCAAAAACGAAUCUCGAGUCGGAAGUGCUUCGAACCACCAAGUGCACGAGAGCUCGAUUCUCCGCAACUCCAAGCUUCCCAGUUUGAUCUCCACCAAGAUCUCCAAAUAGGAGAUGAGGAAGAAGAGAGUGAGAGAGAUGAGCUACUCUCUCCCUCUCUAUAUGCGUGUGUGUUUUCUGUAGAGAAGGGGAUAGGGAUCCCUAUGCAUAAACCCCCAAUGAAAUUAUCUAUUUACUCCUCAAAAACUGCAUUAUGCAAGGUUGAGUAUCGGUAAUCGGGUUGGCGUACCGGUACUCGGGCAUCCAGUACCGAUACCUAAUUUCCAGUACUUCAAAACCCAAACGUUGGAUUCUCGAUUUUCUACUACGUUUCGGUACUUGAUUUUUAGUACUGAUACCCAACCCAAAUUCAGUACCGGUACGCAGGUUUGAUUCCUCAAAACCUGAGAGUUCAUUUUCCUAAUUUUGUAUUGCGUAUCGGUGCUCAGAUUCCAGUACUGGGACUCAAUACAAAAUAUGCAACUUAUGGAAUCAAACCUGAGAGUUCAUUUUCGUAAUUUUGUAUUGCGUACCGGUGCUCAGAUUCCAGUACUGUGACUCAAUACAAAAUAUGCAACUUAGGUAAAUUUCAGAUUUUGGAGUCCGUUUUUGCGCCCGAUUUGCACCGAAAAUACUCAAAUGCUCCCCAAACUUCACCGGAAUAUUUUAAUAGCUUUUUAAGCUAGUUCCUACCAAAAUUUCAUGAUUGUAGUAGUUCGGUAUAUUACACCUGAGCCCAACUGUUAAAUGGGUAGAGCCCGGAAUAGUUUUCAAAUAUGGACCCUUUCUCGGACCUGAUGAAAUAUCGGAUAGUAAAUAAAAAAUAUUUGAACUGUUGAAGUUGAGGAAUCAAUUUUAAUAGGACUUAUAGAUGAGGGGUCUCUAAGUCUUUUCAUUCUAGUGAAACACUGAAACUCUAGCCGCUCAUUUAUUCUUUUUUUUUUCUAAUUUUUUUAUUCUUUGUUUUUUACUCUUUAUUUAUUUUUUUUGUUUCAUUUCCGACUCAGAGUUUUUUAUGAAACAAUAUUUUCAUUGUUGUCCGCAUCAAGGAUAUUAAUCCUCUAUAGGCGUGGUACGAGUGAGUAUUUUCCAAAUCCCUUCUCCAAUCAUAGUUGACAACCUAGCUUUUUUUUAAUGAAUAUUCUAUUUAGUAAAUUUUCUUAUUUCUUUUUAUUUUUUUCCUUUUUUUUGAAUGUUAGUAUAGUAUAUAAUAUUAGUUACUAGAACUUAUAUUCUCUUUAUCUGUAAUAUAGUAUCGUAAUUUUUUUAUUUUUGUGUGUUUACAUGUGAAAUUGGUUUGAAUUUUAGGUUUUUAAUCAGUCAAUAUAAUGACCGAAACAAGUUCUGCCUAAAAAAUUUAAUAAAGUCUAUAAAAAACAUAUAUGUAUACAGGUACCCGUAUUCGAUUUAGCUCCGCCCCGUAUCCGGUCUUGAACGGGUAGUAUACGGGUAGUCACUAUCUAGACCCGCUUAAAUAGACCUGAUGGGUAUAUUAAUAACUUAAGUAUCCAGACUCGGACCCGACCCGAAGUUAAAUGGGUAGGGUGUUUUUUUUCCUAACCAUUUUUUUUAGGGUACGGGUGUAGUAUAUCAACUACCUCGAUCCGACUCGGUCCACGGACACCUUUAAUCUCUAAUUUAGAUGCAGGUCUGAUCUGUUAAUUUUCUCUCUUUGUGCUUUCUUUAGAUUUUGAUCAAAUGUUCUCUCAUAGUAAUGUUUUCUUAUUGUAUCUCGAUUUUGUUUUGAUCUAAAUGUUAUGAUUGUGCUUAUGCAUAUUUUGAUUCCUGUGAGCUCUCUUUGAAUACAGUUCUCUUCAUUCAUUGAUCAAUGUCUUAAAUUGAUUUUUUUAGUGUUUACAAUAUUACAUCACUCUCUCUUUUUAAUUUAUGACAGUUGGACUUACAAUUCUGUAAUGGCUUCAAGUUUGUCUUCAUUAUAACUACUUUAUUUUAUAAGAUUUUCAAUUAAAUAUAAUUUUUGCAAACUCGUAAUUUUUUUUCAAAAUAGUUAGCUCAAAUUAUUUUAUAUUAUAAUUUCAUUAUAAUGUUAGAAAUUAAUAUUACUCCUAUCCGGCACCUAAUUUUAUAUGUUUGGAUAGAGUAUAUUUUUUUUUAAAAAAAUGUUAUUGUCCUAUUAUAAAUUAUUUUCAGGUGCCCAAAUCUCUGUAAUCUUUAGAUUUUUUUUGAAUAUUAAUUAUUAUAUAAACUCUACUCUUAUUUGUGUAAAAAAAAUUUUUUGGUCAAAAGAAGGAAACGUCAAGCGGUGACUACUUUUUUAAGUGAGAGAGGAACGCCAAGGAGCCAAUAGCAAGCCUAAGUGAUCCUAUUGUGAAUUGGAUCGAACUUUCUCAUUGUAGGACUUGGUUCUAGUUUGUGUUUAUCCUUUAUAAUAGUUUUCCGGGUUAGAUUUGGUUUUUAGGUCUUAUCUUACUGGCAAUUAAUAUGUCGAAACAAAUUAUAAGGUAACGUGAAGGAUAAUUUCCAUGAUGAGUCUAUUUUGGGUUUAUCUGUAAUGACAGGUUUUAGGGCUAGUUUAAGCUUUUUUAGGUCUUAUCUUGUUAGCAAUUAAUUUGUCAAAGUAAAUUCUAAGGUUACAAAGUGGUCAUUUCUUAUCCUUAAAGAAUCACUCAUCACUCCCUUCUUUGCGCCAGUCGUCCUUUCUUUCUCACUUCUUCUCCCGAUUGUGCCAUUUGCCGUUUCUACCCUCUGGGCUGUUCGCUUAUCGACUCUCACCUUCCUCCGUCAUUCUUGGCCCAAAAGCUAUAAACUUAGUUGAGAGCAGAUGGAAAAUUUUCCUUUGCUCUCUCUCAAACAAUAGUUGAGAGUUGAGGAUUCAAAGUCUAGGCUAGCUAGUCUGUUCAGUUGUAUGAUUAACGGGUAGAUUAGGUUUAUGUAGGACCAAAAAGUCAAACUCAAGCUAGAUCCCUUAUCGUGCACAUAUUGAAGCUGUAUCCAGCAUGCUUCUAGUGGAAUCGCCAGAGUAUCUAGAUUUCUUUAUUUACUCUUAGAAAAUCAGUUAUGCUUCUGAACCGUCCGAUACGAGUAGGUUGUACAUCAGUAUUGAUGUGUAUCAGACACUGCAUGGCACACAAAUUUAAGCAUUGAUGUGUAUCAGACACUGCAUGGCACACAAAUUUAAGUAUCCGCGCAUUGUCUUGUGCGGGUUAUAUUGUUGACUUCUUAUUCGUUUUCCAUUAUCAGUUCAUUAGGCAUCAUUUCUUUUUUGUACCAUUCUAUGUAACAUGCCUUGGCUUUCUCAUCAUUCUCUCUUUGUCGUGCAGAACUUAUGGAAUACGGAUUAUUUUGAAAGAAUGCUGCAAAAUUGUGAAGAACAGAAAAAUUAUGAAGAACAGCGGUUGUAUCUUAAAUUUUACGUACAACUCUCCAAAGAAGUAAAGGUGCACUUAGAUGUUGUUCAAAGUUGCUUGCAGAUGAUCAUUAGUAAUUGAAAAUAUUGUUGUUGACUGGUUAAUGUAUGUCGUAAUAUGCUGUAUCGUUUGAUCUUCUUUGGUUCAGGAGGGUGAAAGCUGGAAAGAUGUCUGUAAACGGCUAGCAGUGGGAGUGGAGGGAGAUUUGUCUAAAUUAAAAAAAGAAAUGGCGAUAGUCGUAAGAUUCUUGCUGUUGAAUCCUGACAAUCACUUCAAUUGCAGUAGACAAUGGGUGCUGACCUCAGUCAUUGCAGGAUUAUUUUGCGAAUCGAAUUGAAGAAGUCAGAGUGAAGGAAAGAUAUGAACUGUUUUGUCAUAUUUUAGAUGAGGUCAUCAUGAACAAGGUACAUUUUUUAAAAUUCUUCUGAUGUUUGAAAGUUUGUUUCUUUGGUUGUAUUCAUAAUUCUUCCUUUAACUGCUGUUGCUGAAGGAUUUUGCUACUGUGGUUGCUAAAAUCAUAGAGGACAACCUGUAUCCUGACCUUCAUGAUGAAAUCAGAAAAUGCCAAAAAAAAUCGUUUGUAUGUCCGCUCUUUGUGCUUUGGUCUGCUGCUACUUUUAUCGACCAUUUCUAUGGUCAUUUACAAGUUGUUCGACUAACAUGAAUGCCUGUUUGGUUUUCUUUAGGUCAUGGACCUUAAAGAGCACUGUCAAUAUGGGGUGAGUUCAUAAAUAAAGUUUGCAUUUGUUGAAAUUUGUUAUGAUUCAUCAUAUGUAAUUGUUCCACUCUGUCUGCCCUCAAAAAAAUCCCUGCUUAUACUAAUAACAAUUCUUUGGUUGUUAUUAACCUUUGAUGACCUUGACAGAUGCACAUCGAUGAGGCGCGCGAGCACAUUAAGACGGCUUUCUUCGAAACGGUAAUUUUAUUUUGAGCUGUUUUGAAAUCACACUGGUAAUAUGUUUAUUUCGUGUCUCUAUCGCUUCCUAACUCUGGUGUAUUUUCAGUGGAAAAUUAACGUACAACAGCGAUGGCUAGGUUUUCAUGCUUAAGAUGCUGUAGCAGACAACUCCGAUUCUUCCCGAGUAAGGUUUUUAUGUCGUAAGACUGAAUACUUAAGAAUAUUUGGAUCUUCCAACUUCUCAAAAUGAGGUUCUUAAUUGAUGAUCAGACAUAAUUUGAUACUAUUAGGUAAAGA